ensembl:misc_RNA 7SK 7SK RNA
UGAUAGGAAGUUGAUCUACCAUGACAUCUGCUACUGUCUUGGUUGCCAAGGUUGGGUUGGCUGAUCUGGAAUGUCAAAAGAGGUCUCCUUCUUCCCUCACCCAUCUGGGUGAGCCUCCUUUGUCAACCAAACGAAAGAGGUUGACCUUCUCAGCUCAAUGUAUGUAGGACUUUGGUCAAGGGUAUAGGAGUAGCCAUGCUGCUCUGGCAGAAAAGUGAAAAAAUUUCUCAGCAUUCUUAUCUGUCUUACUAGGAAUUACACGGCAAGACCCCGGGCUUGUCAUUUCCAGGUCUGGGUUGUCUAUCACA